rnacentral:misc_RNA from 1 species
CUCUCAAAUACAUUAGUUUCAACAUGAUAUCAGAGCUUUCAAUUCAUUAGGGCAGGCUUUAGUAUUGUUCAUGAGCAUUGCUCAUUGGUUACUGUUUAUCGAUACUAUUCACAUUAUUGUUCACAGCAUGUGAACCUUUUUUGGGCUUUUUUAAACUAUUCCUCGUGUGUUGCACUUCUACCCAGCCCUUGUCCUUGACCAUUAACUUUUCUAUCCAAGAUA